CCCGGGCAGAGGGUGAGUUGGGAGGCAGAACUGUCUGAGUGGAGCCAUGCAGAGGACCUGCUCACUCAUCCAUGUCACCCUGUUCUGGGCAGGAGCCAUGUCAGCUGUGGUGUUGGUGUCUCAAGACCAAGUAGUGACCACGUCCUUUGGGGAGUCUGCAACCCUCAGGUACUCAAUGGAAGGAGAAAUGAUCAAUAACUACCAUCAGCUGGUACAGGAAGACCCAGGAUAACAUAAUGACUUACAUACACCGAGAAGGAGGCAUGUAUGGCCCUGGUUUCUUGAACAAGUUCCGCGCUUACACUGAUAAUUCAAACAACCAGGCUGUGCUUGAGAUCCUUAAAGCAUCAGAGAGAGAUGAAGGAGUUUACUACUGUGCCAGCAACUACCACCCUGCUGGUCCAGCAGAAAUGUUUUUUGGAGCUGGCACCAAACUCUUCGUGGAGCCCAAAAAUCAGCAUAUUGCCAAACCAUCCGUUUUCGUCAUGAGAAAUGGGACAAAUGUUGCUUGUCUGGUGAAGGAUUUCUACCCCAAGAAUAUAAAUAUAAAUCUCCAGUCAUCCAAGAAGAUAAUAGAAUAUGACCCAGCUGUCGUCGUCUCUCCCAGUGGGAAGUACAAUGCUGUCAAGCUUGGUCAAUAUGGAGAUUCUAAUUCAGUGAAAUGUUCAGUUGAACACAACAACGAAAUUGUGUAUUCCUCUGAGAUUGAAGAGACAACUAAAUCUCCAGGUGACCUAAAACCAACAGAACCUGAAGUCAUACAGCAAACUUCAGAGAGCUGCCAUGAACCCAAAGAUCUGUCCAGGAAAGUGAACAUGACGUCCCUUAUGGUCCUGGGGCUCCGAUUGCUAUUCAUCAAGACUGUUGCUGUCAAUUUUCUCUUGACUGCCAAGUUGUUUUUCUUUUAAGGACGACUGGAGGGAGAAGGCUACACUCCCUGAAUGAAACCAAAAGCCUACAGAAGUGCUCUCUCUAUGGCUCCUGACUUCUCGGGGAUUCAAGUUAACCCAUCCCAGCCUUGCUUAAAUGGCUGCUACCCAAACAAGUUUUUCUUUGAAGGCAACAAUCCCAGCUCAUCCUCCAGCCUGGUGGAAAGACAAAGUCCUGGGGGUGGGGGUUGGUGGCCCUAAGUGCUUUAUAUGCUGCUUUAUAAAUGAGUAUAGAGAUACAAAGGGACAGAGGGCUUGUUUUUUAUUUCUACAACAGAUACUCUUUGAAAAUGGUGUCUUGUUCCUUUUACUUGGCCUUCAGAAAUAAAAAGUAGGAGCCAACAGGUUCCCAGCUCUGUUCUGCAAGAAGAAACAGACCCUGGGGGAAGGAAAGCAGGUGUCCUUCACCUAAACAUGAAAGGCUCUGCUCAAAACCCAGCACUAGAUUGGUCCCAAACAGGCAUCACAUCCACAAAAGCACUUUCGGCUCUUUCUACUACUUUACCAACAAAAUGACAUUGGAUUCCCUAACACUCUCCCUGUAGGCAACAGGGUUUUAAAAUCUCACCUAAAUACUCUCCAAGCCAUUCACAGAGUUCAGAGUAAAAGAUAGAGAAAAUGCACAUCUUUCUAUUAAUUGAUUUAAUAAACGUGAAUUGAAUCUCUUUAAAUUGCAGGCACUGUGUUGAGGGUGCAAGGAUGAAGAAGACAAGAGCCUGGCUUUUCAACAAACUCGCUGUGCAGGGUUUUUUUGAGGGAAGGAUAGGAAUAAGAGCCCUAGAUUUCCCCUGUAAAAAGCAGUAUCUUUACUAUCUCCUGCCUGCCCAUCUCUGUGUGGAGAGUUGGAAACCACUGGACAGUGCCUCUUGCCUGGGCCCUUGGUGUCACUGUUUUUCUGCCAUUUUCCUCUGAUACUGCCUCUGCUGCAUUUAUUCAAGUGCAUUAUGUGUGCCUCACCUCUGGCUUUACCUACUGCAGCUACUGCAGAGGGGAAGUGGGUGCUGUGAAUUCACUGUUGGUCUGACUGAGCUUCUAGGUCACACCCCAGUUUCCUGAGCCCCCAGCCUUUUGGCCUCUGACUCCGGGACCUGCCUGUGGGUUUCCUGCUGUUGUUGUUUCUGCUGCAGCAAGUAACAACAGUGUCCCCACAGUGGCCCGUGAGCUCUGCUACUCCCGCCUCAGCAAGGCCACAGCUGUUUCCAGGUGCACCCACGCAGUUAGCAGAGCCCUAGCAACCCAGCAUUGUGGUUUCCUCAGCACCCAUGUGGGUGUCGAGUGGGGGCUUCUGAGGUUACAAGCGAAAGAGCACCUCUCACCAACAACUCUGCUGCCAUUGCCCUUGCAAACUCCCACAUCAUGUUCUCACAGUCCAAAACAAAGACAGGAGGCAUUAGCACUCUAAGUAAAGAAUGCUUGUUUUCAAAACAAUCUAGGUGAAUAAAUAAGGUUCAUUCAGGG